rnacentral:rRNA from 1 species
GCUCUCGCUAUUAGAUGAGCCUAAGUCGGAUUAGCUGGUUGGUGGGGUAAAGGCCUACCAAGGCGACGAUCUGUAGCUGGUCUGAGAGGAUGAUCAGCCACACUGGGACUGAGACACGGCCCAGACUCCUACGGGAGGCAGCAGUGGGGAAUAUUGGACAAUGGGCGAAAGCCUGAUCCAGCCAUGCCGCGUGUGUGAAGAAGGCCUUUUGGUUGUAAAGCACUUUAAGUGGGGAGGAAAAGCUUAUGGUUAAUACCCAUAAGCCCUGACGUUACCCACAGAAUAAGCACCGGCUAACUCUGUGCCAGCAGCCGCGGUAAUACAGAGGGUGCAAGCGUUAAUCGGAAUUACUGGGCGUAAAGCGCGCGUAGGUGGUUAUUUAAGUCAGAUGUGAAAGCCCCGGGCUUAACCUGGGAACUGCAUCUGAUACUGGAUAACUAGAGUAGGUGAGAGGGGAGUAGAAUUCCAGGUGUAGCGGUGAAAUGCGUAGAGAUCUGGAGGAAUACCGAUGGCGAAGGCAGCUCCCUGGCAUCAUACUGACACUGAGGUGCGAAAGCGUGGGUAGCAAACAGGAUUAGAUACCCUGGUAGUCCACGCCGUAAACGAUGUCUACCAGUCGUUGGGUCUUUUAAAGACUUAGUGACGCAGUUAACGCAAUAAG